GACGAACGCUGGCGGCGUGCCUAAUACAUGCAAGUAGAACGCAGUUGCGAACGGGUGAGUAACGCGUAGGUAACUGCCUGGUAGCGGGGGAUAAAUAUUGGAAACAAUAGCUAAUACCGCAUACUACCAGAUGGACCUGCGUUGUAUUAGGUAGUUGGUCAGGUAACGGCUCAACAAGGCAACGUUACAUAGCCGACUUUGGAGGGUGAACGGCCACACUGGGAAUGGAGAACGGCCCAGACUCCUACGGGAGGCAGCAGUAGGGAAACAGCGGCAAUGGGGGGAACGCUGAACGCGCAACGCCGCGUGAGUGGAGGAGGUUGUCGGAUCGUAAAGGUCUGUUGUUAAGGGAGCGUUACUUAACCAGAAAGGGACGGCUAACUACGUGCCAGCAGCCGCGGUAAUUC
rnacentral:rRNA from 1 species